UUGCUUUUAAAAUGCAACAAGUUUGCUAUGAAAAUGCAAAAGGUUUGCUAUGAAAAUGCAACAGGUUUGCUUUGAAAAAUCAAAGGUUUGCUUUGAAAAUUCAAAAGGUUUGCGUUGAAGAUACAAAAGGAGGUUUGGUUUGAAAAUGCAAAAGGAGGCUUGGUUUGAAAAUGCAAA